rnacentral:lncRNA from 1 species
UAUAGAUGCAUAGGAAAUAAAUUAGAUUGAGAGAAGAGAAAAAGAGGGAGAGAGGUGUGAGAAGAGAGAGGCCCUUCUUUAUUCUCCUUAGCCUCUCCCCGUUGGUGCUGCCCCUUGUCCCUUGGCGUGAGCCCUCCUUGGACAUCCCAUGUGCUAGUGUGAAGUGUCACACCAGCAUAUCUCCUCUCUCAUUUGAUUGGGUCA